rnacentral:RNase_P_RNA from 1 species
GAAGCUGACCAGACAGUCGCCGCUUCGUCGUCGUCCUCCUUCGGGGAGACGGGCGGAGGGGAGGAAAGUCCGGCCCAUAGGGCAAGGUGCCGUAACGCCCGGGGUGUCACAGCCCACGACCAGUGCAACAGAGAGCAAACCGCCGAUGGCCCGCGCAAGCGGAUCAGGUAGGGUGAAAGGGUGCGGUAGAGCGCACCGCGCGGCUGGUAACAGUCCGCGGCACGGUAAACUCCACCCGGAGCAAGGCCAAAUAGGGGUUCAUAAGGUACGGCCCGUACUGAACCCGGGUAGGCUGCUUGAGCCAGUGAGCGAUUGCUGGCCUAGAUGAAUGACUGUCCACGACAGAACCCGGCUUAUCGGUCAGUUUCACCU